GAAGUUUGUUGGUUCUCUCUCUCGGUGGGUCUUCUCCUCCAAGCUUUCCCACGGUGGCUCAAAUCGAAGCUUUCACCUCAAAUCGAAAGAUAGAAGGAUCAAAGUUCAUCGAGCAAAGGUUCAAACAAUUCAGGAGUUCACUGCAUAAUAAGGGGAUCAAGUCACACAUAGCCAGAAAUGGAACCAAGAAAACGGAUUGUUUGUGGCCUCUCAGCAAGAGGAAUCAUACCGCCUCUCUCACAAGAAGAUAGAGAUGAUGAUGUUGCGCCUCUCCCACAAGAAGAUACAGUCAAAGUGGUGGAGAUAUCAGAUGAAGAAGAAGAAGAUAUGGUGGAGUUAUCAAGCGAAGAAUACAUGAGCAAUAUGAGAUACUUGAUUAGGGUGGAGGAAUCAGAAGAUGACAUUGAACCUGAGUUCAGAAGGAUGCUUGAAAGGAUGCAUGAGGAAGAGAAGAAGCUGAGAGAGGAGAAGUUCAAGGUGUUGAAGUCGGGAAUCAAGAUAGAGAAAGGACAAUCCUCUAAGGGUGAUGGUAACAAGAGGAAGAGAAGAAGGUGAGUGUCUCGUCUUGUCUUGUAGUCACGGACAAGGUCAGUGUGUUGUUGUGUCUUGUAGUGUCGGACAAGGUCAGUGUGUUGUUGUGUCUUGUAGUGUCAACGCUUUGUGUCACAGAUCAUGUACUCUUGUGUGUUUGUACUCUUGCAUCUUUGUACUCUUGCAUUAUGUGACUUCUAUCAUGUGUACUCUUGUUUGAUGUGUAUUGCAUCAUGUGUACUCUUGUGUUUUGUAAUCUUGCAUCAUGUAACUUGGUCUCUCUAAACCAAACGAAUCAACAACUCACAUAUCUCUAUAUAUCUCUCGGUCUAAAUCAAAGAAAACCAACAACUCAUCCUUCUCUCUAUAUCAUUCUGUAUAAACCAAACAAACUCAUCAACUCAUCUUUCUCGCUAUAUCACUUUAUAGUGAAUCUGUCUAAACCAAACCAAAGCAACAACUCAUAUUUCUCUCUAUAUCACUCUCUAUACCAAUUUGUCCAAACCAAAGCAAUAACUCAUCUCUCUCUCGAUAUCAUUCUCUUUAAACCAACUCAUUGAAAUCUCUUCUCUCUCCAUUUAUAAUAAAAUCUUCUUCUCUCUAUUUUCUCAAACUCAUCUUUAUAUAUAAUAAAUUCUUCUUCUCUCUAUUUUCUCUCUUUGAUCACUAGUUUAUAAACCUCUUUAAUCACCAUAUAUGGCUUCUUCUUCUCAAAACAAUUUAGAUGAAGCUUUUGAUGAUGCUUUUGAUGAUGCAUUUGAUGAGCUCUUUGAUCAACAUUUUGAUCACGCCUUUCACAAUUUUACCAUUCAAAGUGAUCAAGAAGAACGAAGAAAGAAAAGAAAAAAAUGAGCUUAUAUCGAAAGACACCGUGAAGAAGGGCAUUUUCGUUUAUGGAAUGAUUAUUUCAGUGAAACUCCAACGUAUCGUGAAAAUUUCUUCCGACGACGUUUUAGAAUGAACAAGCGACUGUUUCUGCACAUUGUUGAUCGACUCUCCAAUGAAGUUCAAUACUUCCGGGAAAAGAAAGAUGGUCUCGGAAGGAACAGUCUCUCUCCUCUUCAAAAGUGUACCGCAGCCAUUCGUGUCUUGGCGUAUGGUUCUGCAGCUGAUAUGGUCAACGAAUACCUCUGGCUCGGUGAAACAACAGCUCGGUUAUGUGUGGAACAGUUUGUGGAAGGUAUAAUAUAUUUGUUCGGCGAUGAGUACUUAAGAAGACCAACACCGGCUGAUCUUCAACGUCUACUUGAUGUCGGAGAGCGUCGUGGGUUUCCCGGGAUGAUAGGAAGCAUCGAUUGUAUGCAUUGGGAGUGGAAGAAUUGUCCCACCGCUUGGAAAGGGCAAUAUUCUCGUGGUUCGGGUAAACCAACAAUCAUUUUAGAGGCGGUCGCUUCAUACGAUCUCUGGAUAUGACAUGCGUUUUUUGGACCUUCAGGUACAUUAAAUGAUAUCAAUGUUCUUGACCGUUCACCCAUUUUUCAUGACAUA